rnacentral:SRP_RNA from 1 species
GCCGGGUGUGGUGGUCGACACCUGUAAUCCCAGCUGCUUGGGAGGCUGAAGCAGGAGAAUUGCUUGAACCCGGGAGGUGGAGGUUGCAGUGAGCUGAGAUCGUGCCACUGCACUCCAGCCUGGGUAACAGAGUGAGACCCUGUCUCAA